AUAAGGCGAUCCGUGGUUU
rnacentral:miRNA from 1 species